rnacentral:rRNA from 1 species
UACGAAGGGGGCGAGCGUUGUUCGGAAUUACUGGGCGUAAAGGGCUCGUAGGCGGCCAACUAAGUCAGACGUGAAAUCCCUCGGCUUAACCGGGGAACUGCGUCUGAUACUGGUUGGCUUGAAUCCGGGAGAGGGAUGUGGAAUUCCAGGUGUAGCGGUGAAAUGCGUAGAUAUCUGGAGGAACACCGGUGGCGAAGGCGGCAUCCUGGACCGGUAUUGACGCUGAGGAGCGAAAGCCAGGGGAGCAAACGGG